rnacentral:rRNA from 1 species
GACGUAGGGAGCGAGCGUUGUCCGGAUUCAUUGGGCGUAAAGAGCGCGCAGGCGGUUUGGUAAGUCGGAUGUGAAAACCCGGAGCUCAACUCCGGGCCUGCAUCCGAUACUGCCCGACUAGAGGUAGGUAGGGGAGAUCGGAAUUCCUGGUGUAGCGGUGAAAUGCGCAGAUAUCAGGAGGAACACCGGUGGCGAAGGCGGAUCUCUGGGCCUUACCUGACGCUCAGGCGCGAAAGCUAGGGGAGCGAACAGG